UAACAACAUCGCAAUAAGUCAACUCUUGACAUCCCUUUACAGCAGCCGUUGAAUGAGAUGAGAUCCUUCACGGGAAAUCUAGCAAUAACAGGCUUAUUUACUAAAGCCACGAAUUGCCAUGACUUCAAAGCGAAUUUUGCAUUUUUUGACCAAUAUAGUAAAACUGAAUUAAUUUCCAAUUUAGCUGUUAUCGCCCUAAAUUUGAAAUUCGAUUUGAUGUUCACGUCAGUAAAUAACCCUGCAGAUGUAAUCAGAUCACGCGAUUACUCUACAGCAGUGAAGGCUAAAUUUAUCACUGCGGAUAUUUGUGAACAAUACUUCCUAUGAUGCACAGGCAGUUUUUAGGUUGGUAUUGCAUCAAGGGAAAUGUAGUCUUGGGUGGCAAUGGUAGCCAUUAUUGGUGUUUAUUGAUAAAAACCUUCUGACUCCUGUAAUGCUUCAUUGGAAGUGGCAUCCCGGAGACUUGUCAUCAUGUAUUUGUGCUGAAAUCAGCCCGAGAUCAGCCAUUUCUUUUGUAUGGAUGUCCAAUCCACCAAGAACAGGGAACAGGGCUGGAUUAAGAGCCCAUUAGGCCUGGUGCAGACAGUUAUGAUGGGCCUAAUUACAAAAUCUUAUCGACAGAAAACACUAAAACG